GGGCUCAUAGCUCAGAUGGUUAGAGCGCACGCCUGAUAAGCGUGAGGUCGAUGGUUCAAAUCCAUCUAGGCCCACCA
rnacentral:tRNA from 1 species